rnacentral:rRNA from 1 species
CCUACGGGCGGCUGCAGUGGGGAAUAUUGGACAAUGGGCGAAAGCCUGAUCCAGCCAUGCCGCGUGUGUGAAGAAGGCCUGCGGGUUGUAAAGCACUUUCAGUGGGGAAGAAAGCCUUCGGGCUAAUACCCUCGAGGAAGGACAUCACCCACAGAAGAAGCACCGGCUAACUCCGUGCCAGCAGCCGCGGUAAUACGGAGGGUGCGAGCGUUAAUCGGAAUUACUGGGCGUAAAGCGCGCGUAGGCGGUCUGAUAAGCCGGUUGUGAAAGCCCCGGGCUCAACCUGGGAACGGCAUCCGGAACUGUCAGGCUAGAGUGCAGGAGAGGAAGGUAGAAUUCCCGGUGUAGCGGUGAAAUGCGUAGAGAUCGGGAGGAAUAUCAGUGGCGAAGGCGGCCUUCUGGACUGACACUGACGCUGAGGUGCGAAAGCGUGGGUAGCAAACAGGACUAGAUACCCCGGUAGUC